AGAGUUUGAUCCUGGCUCAGGAUGAACGCUAGCUACAGGCUUAACACAUGCAAGUCGAGGGGAAACGACAUCGAAAGCUUGCUUUUGAUGGGCGUCGACCGGCGCACGGGUGAGUAACGCGUAUCCAACCUGCCCACCACUUGGGGAUAACCUUGCGAAAGUAAGACUAAUACCCAAUGACGUCUCUAGAAGACAUCUGAAGGAGAUUAAAGAUUUAUCGGUGAUGGAUGGGGAUGCGUCUGAUUAGCUUGUUGGCGGGGUAACGGCCACAAGGCGACGAUCAGUAGGGGUUCUGAGAGGAAGGUCCCCCACAUUGGAACUGAGACACGGGUCCAAACUCCUACGGGCGGCU
rnacentral:rRNA from 1 species